rnacentral:rRNA from 1 species
AACGAACGCUGGCGGCAUGCCUAACACAUGCAAGUCGAACGAGACCUUCGGGUCUAGUGGCGCACGGGUGCGUAACGCGUGGGAACCUGCCCUUAGGUUCGGAAUAACUCCCCGAAAGGGGUGCUAAUACCGGAUAAUGUCUUCGGACCAAAGAUUUAUCGCCUUUGGAUGGGCCCGCGUUGGAUUAGCUAGUUGGUAGGGUAAAAGCCUACCAAGGCGACGAUCCAUAGCUGGUCUGAGAGGAUGAUCAGCCACACUGGGACUGAGACAAGGCCCAGACUCCUAGGGGAGGCGGCAGUGGGGAAAAUUGGAAAAGGGGCGGAAGCCUGAUCCAGCAAUGCCGGGGAGGUGAGGAGGGCCUUAGGGUUGAAAAGCUCUUUUACCCGGGAUGAUAAUGACAGUACCGGGAGAAUAAGCCCCGGCUAACUCCGG